UCCCAUAACGAGCGCAACCCCCAUUUCUAGUUGCCAGCGGUUCGGCCGGGGACUCUAGAGAAACUGCCAGUGUAAGCUGUGAGGAAGGUGGGGAUGACGUCAAAUCAUCACGGCCCUUACAUUCUGGACCACACACGUGCUACAAUGGUGGGGACAACAGGUUGCCAACCCGCGAGGGUGAGCCAAUCCCAAAACCCCAUCUCAGUUCGGAUCGGAGUCUGCAACUCGACUCCGUGAAGUUGGAAUCGCUAGUAAUCGCGGAUCAGCCAUGCCGCGGUGAAUACGUUCCCGGGCCUUGUACACACCGCCCGUCAAGCCAUGGAAGCUGGGGGCGCCUGAAGUCGGUCACCGCAAGGAACUGCCUAGGGCGAAUCUGGUAACUGGGGGUAAGUCGUAACAAGGUAGCCGUACCGGAAGGUGCGGCUGGAUUAUCUCCUUUUUAGAGAAAACGACAAUCUGGUUUUGUUGGGCUGCUGCAUCAUUCUUCUUUUUUCCGUCUUAUCUCUAGUCCUGUAGCUCAGUUGGUUAGAGCACUACCCUGAUAAUGUAGGGGUCAGCAGUUCAAAUCUGCUCAGGACUGCGAUGAAAGAUGGGGGAUUAGCUCAGCUGGCUAGAGCGCCUGCUUUGCAAGCAGGAGGUCAUCGGUUCGACUCCGAUAUUCUCCACAUAAGAAGUUCUUUGACGUACUGGUAGAAGAUAGCGAAAUUGAUAAGUAAAGAAGGGCAGUAGGCGGAUGCCUUGGCUCUCAACAGCGAUGAAGGACGUGACAAGCUGCGAUAAGCCAU
rnacentral:sRNA from 1 species